AUUGAACGCUGGCGGCAUGCCUUACACAUGCAAGUCGAACGGCAGCACGGGGCAACCUGGUGGCGAGUGGCGAACGGGUGAGUAAUGCAUCGGAACGUACCCGGAAGUGGGGGAUAACGUAGCGAAAGUUACGCUAAUACCGCAUAUUCUGUGCGCAGGAAAGAGGGGGAUCUUCGGACCUCUUGCUUUCGGAGCGGCCGAUGUCAGAUUAGCUAGUUGGUGAGGUAAAGGCUCACCAAGGCGACGGUCUGUAGCGGGUCUGAGAGGAUGAUCCGCCACACUGGGACUGAGACACGGCCCAGACUCCUACGGGAGGCAGCAGUGGGGAAUUUUGGACAAUGGGCGCAAGCCUGAUCCAGCCAUGCCGCGUGAGUGAAGAAGGCCUUCGGGUAGUAAAGCUCUUUCGGCCGGGAAGAAAUCGCGUGAGUUAAUACCUUGCGUGGAUGACGGUACCGGAAUAAGAAGCACCGGCUAACUACGUGCCAGCCGCCGCGGUAACAC
rnacentral:rRNA from 1 species